GACGAACGCUGGCGGCGUGCCUAAUACAUGCAAGUUGAGCGCUGAAGGUUGGUACUUGUACCCACUGGAUGAGCAGCGAACGGGUGAGUAACGCGUGGGGAAUCUGCCUUUGAGCGGGGGACAACAUUUGGAAACGAAUGCUAAUACCGCAUAAAAACUUUAAACACAAGUUUUAAGUUUGAAAGAUGCAAUUGCAUCACUCAAAGAUGAUCCCGCGUUGUAUUAGCUAGUUGGUGAGGUAAAGGCUCACCAAGGCGAUGAUACAUAGCCGACCUGAGAGGGUGAUCGGCCACAUUGGGACUGAGACACGGCCCAAACUCCUACGGGAGGCAGCAGUAGGGAAUCUUCGGCAAUGGACGAAAGUCUGACCGAGCAACGCCGCGUGAGUGAAGAAGGUUUUCGUAUCGUAAAACUCUGUUGGUAGAGAAGAACGUUGGUGAGAGUGGAAAGCUCAUCAAGUGACGGUAACUACCCAGAAAGGGACGGCUAACUACGUG
rnacentral:rRNA from 1 species